rnacentral:rRNA from 1 species
AUUGAACGCUGGCGGCAGGCCUAACACAUGCAAGUCGAGCGGUAGAGAGAAGCUUGCUUCUCUUGAGAGCGGCGGACGGGUGAGUAAUGCCUAGGAAUCUGCCUGGUAGUGGGGGAUAACGUUCGGAAACGGACGCUAAUACCGCAUACGUCCUACGGGAGAAAGCAGGGGACCUUCGGGCCUUGCGCUAUCAGAUGAGCCUAGGUCGGAUUAGCUAGUUGGUGAGGUAAUGGCUCACCAAGGCGGCGAUCCGUAACUGGUCUGAGAGGAUGAUCAGUCACACUGGAACUGAGACACGGUCCAGACUCCUACGGGAGGCAGCAGUGGGGAAUAUUGGACAAUGGGCGAAAGCCUGAUCCAGCCAUGCCGCGUGUGUGAAGAAGGUCUUCGGAUUGUAAAGCACUUUAAGUUGGGAGGAAGGGUUGUAGAUUAAUACUCUGCAAUUUUGACGUUACCGACAGAAUAAGCACCGGCUAACUCUGUGCCAGCAGCCGCGGUAAUACAGAGGGUGCAAGCGUUAAUCGGAAUUACUGGGCGUAAAGCGCGCGUAGGUGGUUUGUUAAGUUGGAUGUGAAAUCCCCGGGCUCAACCUGGGAACUGCAUUCAAAACUGACUGACUAGAGUAUGGUAGAGGGUGGUGGAAUUUCCUGUGUAGCGGUGAAAUGCGUAGAUAUAGGAAGGAACACCAGUGGCGAAGGCGACCACCUGGACUAAUACUGACACUGAGGUGCGAAAGCGUGGGGAGCAAACAGG